UUGUUGUUGAUAAUGUGUGCCCUUAAGCAGCCAUAUUGAUCUAAAAUUAUAAACAACCUCCAAAUUGGACAAUAUUUUCAAAGAAGCAUUUUUUCCACUGUGAUUGGUAAUUAUUAAUGUAGUAAAUAACCUGCCAGGUAGUCAUUCCACCAAAGUCUUCUUUCUACAAGUUAUAAAUCCUGAAGAAGUGGAUGUUGAAGGAGCCUGCGAACAAAGUUGAUGUUCAGCUACAUUUAUCCCAUGACUCAGAUUGUCCAUGUCCGAAUUGGAAAUGUGGAGAUGAUGGUGUAGCAAAGGAGUUUUGAGAACAGGAUGAUUUGGAAUUUAUCUCAAAAGCUUCUUGUUAGCAGUGCGAGGCCUUGCAACAAUAAUUGUAAUGUUCUUGC